rnacentral:lncRNA from 1 species
AUGGCUACAGAGAAUCUACACACAAUUAUCAUUUUUUUAUAAUAAAUAAAAAAUAAAAUAUUAGAAAAAAUAUGAUAUAGGCACCCAUAUAUCAAGAUACAAGUCUAGAUACAAAGUCAUUGCUAUUCUAUAUCUAUUAUCUUUAAGUAUCUAUAUAUUUAUUUUUUAAUUUUUAUUUUAAUUCUUUGUAAAAAAAUAAAGUUGAGAUGGUUGAGUCGGUUUUCUACAUAAGGCUUGAGUGGGAAAAGCCUUACCAUG